GAUGAACGCUGGCGGCGUGCUUAACACAUGCAAGUCGAACGAUGAAGCCCAGCUUGCUGGGUGGAUUAGUGGCGAACGGGUGAGUAACACGUGAGUAACCUGCCCUUGACUCUGGGAUAAGCCCGGGAAACUGGGUCUAAUACCGGAUAGGAGCGCCUGUCGCAUGACGGGUGUUGGAAAGAUUUUUCAGUCAUGGAUGGACUCGCGGCCUAUCAGCUUGUUGGUGAGGUAAUGGCUCACCAAGGCGACGACGGGUAGCCGGCCUGAGAGGGUGACCGGCCACACUGGGACUGAGACACGGCCCAGACUCCUACGGGAGGCAGCAGUGGGGAAUAUUGCACAAUGGGCGGAAGCCUGAUGCAGCGACGCCGCGUGAGGGAUGACGGCCUUCGGGUUGUAAACCUCUUUCAGUAGGGAAGAAGCGAAAGUGACGGUACCUGCAGAAGAAGCACCGGCUAACUACGUG
rnacentral:rRNA from 1 species